CGGACGGGUGGAGUAACGCGUGGAAAACCUGCCGUAUACUGGGGGAUAACACUUAGAAAUAGGUGCUAAUACCGCAUAAGCGCACAGCUUCGCAUGAAGCGGUGUGAAAAACUCUGGUGGUAUACGAUGGUUCCGCGUCUGAUUAGCUAGUUGGUGGGGUAAUGGCCUACCAAGGCAACGAUCAGUAGCCGACCUGAGAGGGUGAACGGCCACAUUGGGACUGAGACACGGCCCAAACUCCUACGGGAGGCAGCAG
rnacentral:rRNA from 1 species